AGUGAACGCUGGCGGUAGGCCUAACACAUGCAAGUCGAACGGCAGCACAGUAAGAGCUUGCUCUUACGGGUGGCGAGUGGCGGACGGGUGAGGAAUACAUCGGAAUCUACUUUUUCGUGGGGGAUAACGUAGGGAAACUUACGCUAAUACCGCAUACGACCUACGGGUGAAAGCAGGGGAUCUUCGGACCUUGCGCGAUUGAAUGAGCCGAUGUCGGAUUAGCUAGUUAGCGGGGUAAAGGCCCACCAAGGCGACGAUCCGUAGCUGGUCUGAGAGGAUGAUCAGCCACACUGGAACUGAGACACGGUCCAGACUCCUACGGGAGGCAGCAGUGGGGAAUAUUGGACAAUGGGCGCAAGCCUGAUCCAGCCAUACCGCGUGGGUGAAGAAGGCCUUCGGGUUGUAAAGCCCUUUUGUUGGGAAAGAAAAGCAGCAGGUUAAUACCCCGCUGUUCUGACGGUACCCAAAGAAUAAGUACCGGCUAACUUCGUG
rnacentral:rRNA from 1 species